GUGUGUGAACUCAGAGAAAUUAGGUAGAGCAGCGGACUCUUAAUCCGUCGGUCGCUGGUUCAAAUCCGGCCAGGCUCGCCA
rnacentral:tRNA from 1 species